rnacentral:rRNA from 1 species
GGGGGGCGGGGCCUAAAAUGCAGUCGAGCGAAUGGAUUAAGAGCUUGCUCUUAUGAAGUUAGCGGCGGACGGGUGAGUAACACGUGGGUAACCUGCCCAUAAGACUGGGAUAACUCCGGGAAACCGGGGCUAAUACCGGAUAACAUUUUGAACCGCAUGGUUCGAAAUUGAAAGGCGGCUUCGGCUGUCACUUAUGGAUGGACCCGCGUCGCAUUAGCUAGUUGGUGAGGUAACGGCUCACCAAGGCAACGAUGCGUAGCCGACCUGAGAGGGUGAUCGGCCACACUGGGACUGAGACACGGCCCAGACUCCUACGGGAGGCAGCAGUAGGGAAUCUUCCGCAAUGGACGAAAGUCUGACGGAGCAACGCCGCGUGAGUGAUGAAGGCUUUCGGGUCGUAAAACUCUGUUGUUAGGGAAGAACAAGUGCUAGUUGAAUAAGCUGGCACCUUGACGGUACCUAACCAGAAAGCCACGGCUAACUACGUGCCAGCAGCCGCGGUAAUACGUAGGUGGCAAGCGUUAUCCGGAAUUAUUGGGCGUAAAGCGCGCGCAGGUGGUUUCUUAAGUCUGAUGUGAAAGCCCACGGCUCAACCGUGGAGGGUCAUUGGAAACUGGGAGACUUGAGUGCAGAAGAGGAAAGUGGAAUUCCAUGUGUAGCGGUGAAAUGCGUAGAGAUAUGGAGGAACACCAGUGGCGAAGGCGACUUUCUGGUCUGUAACUGACACUGAGGCGCGAAAGCGUGGGGAGCAAACAGGUUAG